GCCGGGGCUGCGGCGCCAUACAAGACCCUCGCGGGGAAAUCGUCGCGCCUGUCUCUCGGCAGGUUCUCACCGCCCCGGCGCCCGUCC
rnacentral:ncRNA from 1 species